GUUGGGGGAGUUACCAUAGCAACGCGGACUUGCCAAGGACUACUGAGCCGCGCGCGGCGUUCGGAAUGGGGUUCGAUAGGUGCCUUCCCCCAAUUAGAGAAGCACCAGAGUCCACCAGAAUGCACAACAUUUUCUUCACGUCAAGACGCGACAGCUCAAGUCCUGCAUCCAUCAAAGAAUGUUACAACUCGUAUCUCCAGGGGUCCGGCUCAGGAUUAGAGAUGCGCGAGCUUCGGAUAGAGUACAUCCUCUCACACAUAGACAAUAUGAGAUCACCACAGUCUAAUAUCAAUGGGGCGACCUGCUUUUAAGGGUGAUUUAAUUAAGCAAAUGAUAAAUAAAGGAGAAGAAUCAUUGAUGUGGAUGACAACAAUGCAGAAGCCCAGCAGAUCAAUGGACCAUAAUAAUGGAGUGACCGGUGGCGAUAAUCACCUAAACAGAGAGCC